rnacentral:misc_RNA from 1 species
AGUCGUAACAAGGUAACCGUAGGUGAACCUGCGGUUGGAUCAUUAUAGAGAUUCAAAAUCAAGAGGGCUUUGGUUGCAAGACCAAGUCCUCGACACCCCAACCUUGUGAAUUUAAAAAACUGUUGACUCUUUUCCUUUGGGAGAGAGUAUUUAUAUAAACUUUGUCUUUAAAACCCAAGUCCUUUUUUAUUAACUUUGAGUAAUCACUGUUAAAAACAAAAAAAAACAACUUUUGACAACGGAUCUCUUGGUUCUG